UGAACCCUCUCCUGUCCAUUACCACCAUUCAUUACCAAGCAAAAAUGUGGUUAAACCUUGUGUCCUUCCUAGUAGUCCUCAAAGGAGUCCAGUCUCAAGUCCAGUUGGUGGAGUCCGGAGGGGAUGUGAGAAGACCUGGAGAGUCCCUCCGUCUCUCCUGCCAAGCCUCUGGAUUCACGUUCAGCAUCUAUAACAUGCACUGGGUGAGACAGGCUCCUGGGAAAGGCCUUGAAUGGGUGGCAUAUAUAAGCCCCGUUUCUGGAACUCUCUACUCUGACAAAGUGAAGGGACGCUUCGCCGUCUCCAGGGACGAUGUCAAAAGCCAGCUGCAUCUGCAAAUGAGCCGCCUCAAAACUGAAGACACGGGAGUCUAUUACUGUGCUGGUGACACAAUGAGAAGAAGUGGAUCUGAAGCCAAGCAAGAACCUUCCUUUCUUCAGAAUAGCUCUUCAAAUGGCUGA